CAGUUCUUAAUGUAACUGUACCCUUCUGCAUGGAAAAUCAUAACCAACAUGGCUGCAGUAGACUUCUUAGUGGUAUCCAGCACCACUUGCAGAGGGCUGCUUUAUAUUAAUUGUACUUGGGUGUAGGACUCUAGUGUUCUUGGGUGUAUUGCAUGGGCUGCAUUAUCUACAGCAUUGUACAAUAACAACUAGAAGAGGCAGUAUACUUCACUGAUGCUUGUCUGGUAAUAUCACUUCUGUGUUAUAAUGGAAGGUUUUUUGUGAUGUAUGAAACUUGUGUUUUUUAUAUAUAAAUGAGUAUAGUUAGAUUAGUGUCGUGGUAAUGCCUGUUUUCAUCUGUAAAUAGUUUUAAGUAUGUACACGAGGCACUACUUCUGAUUUAU
rnacentral:lncRNA from 1 species